rnacentral:lncRNA from 1 species
UUGAAAAUCCCGCUUUUCAAUUUUCUCAAAAGGAACUAUAUCCACUUUUACAUUGUUUCUUAUGACCCAACUAACGAGCACACCCCAUCUUUCCACUUGCACAUAUCUCCUUUUCGCAUAAAUACGUCCAUUUUAUCUUUGAUUCCAGGCAUAUUUGCCUUACUAUCGGUAGCCGAUCUCCUGCCAGAACACAAAGUGUUGAUCCAUGCUGGGCUCAGUACCAUUGGUCAAGCAAUGUUAUCAGUUGUCCACAGUGAGGGAGCCGUGGCAUUCACCACUGUCCCGCAUGCAGCAGCCCAUACAGCACUAAGCAAAUUAUGUCCAUUUAUUCCAAAAGAAAAUAUUCUGGAUACUUCUGAUCCUCAUUGGGAGCUGAAGCUCAGAUUCAUGACCAAAGGGAGCGGUGUAAAUAUAGUUGUGAACUGUCUGAGCGGAACUAAACUUUUGCGUCAGUUCGAUGUCUAGCUGUACUUGGGAAAUUUUUACAAAUGAGCUCCACCGAUUCGUAUAAUAAAGAGCAACUUGGUAAGUAAGUUUUCUCUCUCUCUUCAUUGCUCUAGGCCAAUAAGUGAAGAAAUAGCGGUUGUAUUCAUAGUUGUUCCUUAAUCAGCUCCUCCCCUCAGGAGGCUGUUGAUAUAGCAUCAUAAAAAAGACGAUUUUUCCGAACCUGGGAUUAAAUUCUAGAGUAUUUAACUUAGGAAAUAAAUCCUUAUAAGGAAUUAAAAUGAUAUUCCUUUCCGGAAAAUACUAAUUCCGAAGAAAAAAAUUCUCCACAAACUGAUUGCUGUGGACGCAUGGGUCGUAAGACAGUAUGUUGGAGUUCUUUUGUUUUUUUUUUAAGCCAAUGUUUGUUAAAAAUUCAGCAUAAAGCUGAAAAUCUCAAUACAAGUACAAGGUCAGUUCCUGAAUGUUCGUAACUAGUGUUGCACCAAAUAGCAUAACUCUUUGAGGGAAAAUUGUGCUCUUAUGAGCUUUUUCCCUCUGUAAUGAGAUUUUCAGCUUUAUGCUGAAUUUUGACGCAUGUUGAAAAAGAAAAAAAACCUAAAAAUUCUACAAUUUUCACAAGCUUUAAGGUAGAUUUGCACCUUCUUAAAAGUCCAUCGUAAUCAGAAAAUUGCUUCUCUUACAUUUCGUGCUUAUUUCAACGGUAAAUCGUUCAAGCCCUUGGUAGGCUCUAUUUCCAUAGUUACACUCCUGGUUGGGAAAAAUUGUACUUUUGAUGAUUAACGGCGUCCUGAAACCUCCCUUGGUCACGAUUUAAAACAUGUGAGGCCUCCUAAAGAGAGGGG